CCUACGGGAGGCAGCAGUGGGGAAUAUUGCACAAUGGGGGAAACCCUGAUGCAGCGACGCCGCGUGGGUGAAGAAGUAUUUCGGUAUGUAAAGCCCUAUCAGCAGGGAAGAAAAAUGACGGUAGCUGACUAAGAAGCACCGGCUAAAUACGUUCCAGCAGCCGCGGUAAUACGUAUGGUGCAAGCGUUAUCCGGAUUUACUGGGUGUAAAGGGAGCGCAGGCGGCACGCUAAGCCUGAUGUGAAAACCCGGGGCCCAACCGCGGGAGUGCAUUGGGAACUGGCGGGCUGGAGUACCGGAGGGGCAGGCGGAAUUCCUAGUGUAGCGGUGAAAUGCGUAGAUAUUAGGAGGAACACCAGUGGCGAAGGCGGCCUGCUGGACGGAGACUGACGCUGAGGCUCGAAAGCGUGGGGAGCAAACAGGAUUAGAUACCCCAGUAGUC
rnacentral:rRNA from 1 species